rnacentral:rRNA from 1 species
AGAAUCAACGCUGGCGGCGUGCCUCAGACAUGCAAGUCGAACGAUUAAAGCUCUCUUCGGAGAGUGUAUAGAGUGGCGCACGGGUGAGUAACACGUAAGUAAUCUACCUUUGAGUGGGGAAUAACGUCCGGAAACGGACGCUAAUACCGCAUAAUGCAGCGGCAUCGCAAGAUGACAGUUAUUAAAGAUUUAUCGCUUGAAGAGGAGCUUGCGGCAGAUUAGCUAGUUGGUAAGGUAAUGGCUUACCAAGGCUACGAUCUGUAACCGGUCUAAGAGGACGGUCGGUCACACUGACACUGAAUAACGGGUCAGACUCCUACGGGAGGCAGCAGGUCGGGAAUUUUGGGCAAGUGGGACGAAAGCCUCGACCCAGCAACGCCGCGUGAAGGAUGAAGUAGUUUCGGUAUAGUAAACGUUCGAAAAGAAGUAGGGAAAGAAA